CUGAGAGGAUGACCAGCCACACUGGAACUGAGACACGGUCCAGACUCCUACGGGAGGCAGCAGUGGGGAAUAUUGCACAAUGGGCGCAAGCCUGAUGCAGCCAUGCCGCGUGUAUGAAGAAGGCCUUCGGGUUGUAAAGUACUUUCAGCGGGGAGGAAGGGAGUAAAGUUAAUACCUUUGCUCAUUGACGUUACCCGCAGAAGAAGCACCGGCUAACUCCGUGCCAGCAGCCGCGGUAAUACGGAGGGUGCAAGCGUUAAUCGGAAUUACUGGGCGUAAAGCGCACGCAGGCGGUUUGUUAAGUCAGAUGUGAAAUCCCCGGGCUCAACCUGGGAACUGCAUCUGAUACUGGCAAGCUUGAGUCUCGUAGAGGGGGGUAGAAUUCCAGGUGUAGCGGUGAAAUGCGUAGA
rnacentral:rRNA from 1 species